rnacentral:rRNA from 1 species
UAAUGGGUCAGCGACUUAUAUUCUGUAGCAAGGUUAACCGAAUAGGGGAGCCGAAGGGAAACCGAGUCUUAACUGGGCGUUAAGUUGCAGGGUAUAGACCCGAAACCCGGUGAUCUAGCCAUGGGCAGGUUGAAGGUUGGGUAACACUAACUGGAGGACCGAACCGACUAAUGUUGAAAAAUUAGCGGAUGACUUGUGGCUGGGGGUGAAAGGCCAAUCAAACCGGGAGAUAGCUGGUUCUCCCCGAAAGCUAUUUAGGUAGCGCCUCGUGAAUUCAUCUCCGGGGGUAGAGCACUGUUUCGGCAAGGGGGUCAUCCCGACUUACCAACCCGAUGCAAACUGCGAAUACCGGAGAAUGUUAUCACGGGAGACACACGGCGGGUGCUAACGUCCGUCGUGAAGAGGGAAACAACCCAGACCGCCAGCUAAGGUCCCAAAGUCAUGGUUAAGUGGGAAAC